rnacentral:lncRNA from 1 species
CUUUCAGCAAGGCAGAUAGCAGCCAGCGCAUUACUCACCAUUACCCCAUAGCUAUCUGUUUUCUGAGAAUGUGUUACAAGAAGUGGCAGCUGAAGCUCUGAAGCCUCUUCAGCACUGGCUGAAGCCACCUCCUGUGGUCUGUGAUGCUCUUGUCCUUGUCACCUGCCCUGGAGGCUGUGAGGCUUGGUGACUCUGCUCUGUUGGCACUCUAUUAGCCUCUUCUGGGGAUUAACGAGUGGGGAGACUACAAGCUGUGCUGCAGAUAAGUUCUCUAACUUGCCAAAACUGCAGUAAUGAGAGAACUUCUUUCCAGUUAGAAGAAAAGUUCCUCUCAGCCUGUUGCUUCCUUCUUCCUGACAGCUAGCUCUGAGGCACCACGAAGGUAUUUAACUCUUUGCAGCUUUGUCUUCCACGUAGGGUUUCAGUGGCUGCAAUUCUUAGUGCUGCUUUGCAGAUGUAAAAUGGAGCCAUUCAGUUCAGAGAAGCCAACAGCUUCUUGCUACAAAACCAUGAUGCACUGUGGAGUGCAGACCAGCUUGCCUUGCACUCAUCUGGCUUCUCUCUCCACUGUGCAUUUACAUGUGCUAGAUUUUGGUUGUGAGUUUGCAUAAGCAGCUAAUGUUCCUGUUUAUGGAAUCACUUGCUCUUUUGGUGCUGGAUGGAACCUAAGAUCUUGCUCUUAAUUGUUCUUUCAGGGUAAAAAUGAAAGUUUCUGGAAGAUAAGCUUGGAGCUUUUUCUGCUGUUCUGCAGAAUGCACAGAACUCCUAGCAGAGCCAACAAGUACUUGAAGACUUUUCACUUCUCCUGUUUGUAUGAAGUGUGGCUUUUGGAGACGUGGAACUGGAAGAGUCUCAGAUAGAACCUCCUGCCUGGAGAACUCACGCAUCCUCGACAAAAAUGAACCAGGAGGAGAUGGCUUAUCCCCACGCGUGCCUUAUCUUCGGAUAAUACCUGAACCUCGCGGGGAGAACAGUAGACUUUGGGACCAGGACACACCUUUUCCGUCAGCAGCAUUUUGGCUGCCUACCAGCUGA